AAAAUACUCCCUCCGUCCGAAAAUACUUGUCCUAAAAAUAUAUAAAAUGGAUGUAUCUAUAAUUAAAAUAAGUCUAAUACAUCUAUUUCUAGGACAAGUAUUUUUGAACGGAGGAAGUAAUUC
rnacentral:pre_miRNA from 1 species